AACGAACGCUGGCGGCAUGCCUAACACAUGCAAGUCGAACGAGACCUUCGGGUCUAGUGGCGCACGGGUGCGUAACGCGUGAGAACCUGCCCUUAGGUUCGGAAUAACUCCCCGAAAGGGGUGCUAAUACCGGAUAAUGUCUUCGGACCAAAGAUUUAUCGCCUUUGGAUGGGCCCGCGUUGGAUUAGCUAGUUGGUAGGGUAAAAGCCUACCAAGGCGACGAGCCAUAGCUGGUCUGAGAGGAUGAUCAGCCACACUGGGACUGAGACACGGCCCAGACUCCUACGGGAGGCAGCAGUGGGGAAUAUUGGACAAUGGGCGAAAGCCUGAUCCAGCAAUGCCGCGUGAGUGAUGAAGGCCUUAGGGUUGUAAAGCUCUUUUACCCGGGAUGAUAAUGACAGUACCGGGAGAAUAAGCUCCGGCUAACUCCGUG
rnacentral:rRNA from 1 species